UGCAGUCAACUGAGGGCCAUACGCCUGCAGCUCUGUGUGACCUUUGAGCCAUGAGGCUCUUUGUCAGUCUCUAUUCCGUACUUCAUAGCAGCCUGGAAAAGAAAGCAAGCCUUUAUGUAAGGCCAUAGAGAAAACAUUGAGCCCAGAUAUUUUUUAUUUCUUUUUUUUUUCCUCAGAUUCAACCUGUCCACUGCUUUUUCCAGUCUGCACACAAAGAAAGGUCCUCCGUGUCAGUGGAUGCAUACGGUGACGCUCUCAAACAGAUUUAAGUCUAAAGGCACUGGGUCCCCUGAACUCCAGUGAAGUCUUCCUUUGACUGCAGCAACCCUUGGCUGGGGACCAACCUGUCUUACGUCCGAGCAUCUCCAAGUAUGAAUAGCUAUGUCUCCAUUGGCCCUGGUGGAGCAAAAAGUUAACAGUUAUCCUCCUCUUUCAGAUGGGAAAACUGGAUCGUGAACAGACAAUAAUCCUCAUCUGUUUAGCUUGGAAUGGCUUGGGAGAAGCUGGUGACAGUGCCAGAGGAAAGCAGAGAUUUAGCAUUAAUUGAGUUUGCUACAAGACCCUUGUUUAGCAAAGCUGUUUGCUGGUGGGCAGGGAGAAAGGGAAGCUGGAAAAGCACAAGUAGAGCCCAUGUGCGUGUGUGACUUCUAUAUACAGUUUCAUGGCUGUUAUUUUUUUAGGCUUUUUGUUUCAGUUCUGAUGUUUAGUUCUGACCUUAUCCUGACAGCACACUCUUCACGUGUUCUUGCUUUCUUUCCCUUUAUUUAGUUCACCAAAGCACUGAGGUAGGGGUCUCUACGUGUGUGUUGUGUUUUGGGGACAGAGCAAUGAGCAGUGGCACGUAUUCUACAUCCAUUCAGGUGCUGAUCUGAUCGUGUCUCAUACUAGUAAGUCUGAACUAAAUUCAGUGGGGAUGCCCAGUGCUUGCAGGGUCUUUUUUAAGUGGUCCAACAGCAAGAGGGUAGCAGUGCCACCACGGAGGCUGGCCAGGAGAUGUGAUGCUUGGCUAAAGCUCUGCUCGUGGUACAGAAGGGGGGUACAACAGUACGGUCCUCCUGCCUAAAUAUAUGCUCUUUUGCUAAUUUGGCUGUCUUCUUGCUGGCUACAUUUCUGUGGUUGUGGAAAGAGUUUAUAAUGCAUCUGUGGUCCUUAAAGAUUCUCUGGCUCCCUGUUUCUCUGGAGUGAAGGGUGCUAUUAAAUAUAGCCUCCCACCAGAUUCCAGUGACUAGUCACAAACAGACCAGUCCCAAACCAGCUAUGACUCAGACACCGAUGAGCCUCUGAAUAAUGCUUGCAGGAAAAGCUAAGGCGCUUCUUCCCUGGCCUUGCACUGGCAAUGGGGAAUGCUGAAUAAGAGCAGACCAAAUUAACAAGGCUGGUUCCUGAGCCAAAAGAAGAGGGCGCCUGCAGUUACUAGGUAUCGUCCAAUGUUAGUGCUGAGCUUUCACGUGGCCACAGCUGAAGCGUGGUGGAGGAACUGGAUGUGGAUGCUGUAAAAGCCUGGAGCAGACUUCCUUUUCCCUGGGCAGAGUCACCUGGCUGGCAGGGCGAUAGGAGAAUUCCUCACAGUGAAGCUUUCCUUUGAGUUUAAGAAGACAUUUAGGCAGGGCAGAGGGAAGGCCUUGUGCCCAAUGACGCUGUUUAUAUUUAAGGUUAGGCAUAAGUUUGAACAUCCUGCUAGAGUAAUGCUGUGGAUGAGAGUUAAAGGAUGAGUUCCUCAUUGAGCGCAUUCCCACCUUAGAGAUACACUUUUCGUCUUAGACUUCUGAAGUUCUUUACAACUGAACCCUGCCUUCCUCUUUUAAAAUAAUUUAUCCUGAAUAGCAAUGCCGGUCGGUCAUUUCAACCUGCUGCUGUAAGGUUUGUGCUUGCUGCAGUUAUUUUUGUACACUCGAGUGUCACUUUUUUUUCUCGGAUGGUACCUAAAUAGCAAAGGACACAUUGAAAUGGAUAGCAUACGGAUUUUUUUCCAAAUCAUUUGAAUACAAGAAUGAGAGUUUGUGGCAAGUUGCUGUGUUUAUGAACAAACAGGCUCAAAGGAAUUAGCUUCCCAAAGCAACUGCAGCUGUUAAAGUCCUAAAUAUUUCUGGCUUUUCUGAACGCAUUCUUAUCAGUGUGCUUUGUUAGAAAAAUAGGGGUUUUUUUUAUCUACUGAGAAAUGUCUAUUCUAUUUUUCAGGAUCUGAAGUUUGAAACCUAAACCAAAAAAGGUUCCUCUGUUUAUAUUCCAAGAACAGACAAAAUUUCCUUUAAGAUGCUUUCCUAACGUUUUUGUUUUGUUAAGAACAGGGCAUUCAGAGAUGAGGCUGGAUGCAUAUUUUUGUCAAUGUUUAUGAAGUCAUGAAAGCAUCUGGAUACAGUAUGGAAACCCUCAACCAAAAACUUUUUGAAGUAUCUUUUUUAAGAUAAUCAGCCGGGCUUACUCCACUAAACUAUGUAUUUAUUGGAUUUGGAUGGAAGAUAAGAUCUGGUGAUACACACUCUGAUAAGGUUAGCUGCAUUAGAUGGUUCCAAAGGUUCAUCUUGCUCAACAUCAAGACUACAGCAGUGGAUGCUUGAGAAAGAUGAAGCUCAAGG